CUUGGAUCCUGAAGGAGGUUAUUGAAACAUGAACCAUUUCUCUUUUAACAACUCCUAGCAAGAAGCCCAACUGCCUAAGCUUGAAAUGCUGGGAUUCCAUCAAAUCACAAAAUUGAUUUCAUUCCCCAUUGAAGCUUCGAAACACAUGCAAUGCUAUGACCAUAAGUGACCUAAUUAAAUUCAAUCCUCCUUUUUCAAUAACCUCCUUCAGGAUCCAAGGGACCUUACAAAGUUUAUAUAUGUAUUAAAAAAAAAAAAAAAAAGAUAGACAGACAGAGACAGCAGAGACAAACAUCAUUUCUUACACAUUGUCCUCAAUUCCUACCAACACAUACUCGGACCCAAUUGGUACAAUAAUACAGAGCCUGAAAAACUGCAAUGAAUUGUUGAGACUUGAGAUUAUGAAACUUCAAUUUCUACUGCUACAACAUUCCACUGCAUGGGAGACACCAGAAUACUGAACCAACAAAGAGUAUAUAAAUCCCUUCCAACCUUGCAACCUCACGUCAAAUAUGAACAAGCGCAUUACGGAGAGUUAUGCCACCAUUAUUUCUAUGGAAUAGAGCUGUACACCAAACUCGAGUUACAAGCAUGUAUUUUGUACUUGAUAAGAUCUGCCAAAGGAAAGGCUGCUACGUCUCUCCAGUACCUCAAGAAUGAUGCACCUUUAGCAGUGCUUGAUAAAACAUGUCAAUGAAUUGAUCAUCCUGAACCAGCGUCAAAAGUGCAUCACGAACUCUUUCUCUGUGAAUAACAGGUGCAGUAGCAAGACAACUAGGAGUCAAAGAUAAUGAUGGAUUGGGAGGUGGAAAGGGUUGAAGCACUGGAAUGCCAUAUGGGCGUUGCAGAUUAAGAUGAGAAUGAAGAGCAGGAGCAGUAGGCACAGGUGAAGAGAGAGGUGGAGGCAUCAAUGCAGAUGAAGAAGGUGGAGUAAAA
rnacentral:misc_RNA from 1 species